rnacentral:rRNA from 1 species
AGGGAAACAACCCAGACCGCCAGCUAAGGUCCCAAAGUCAUGGUUAAGUGGGAAACGAUGUGGGAAGGCCCAGACAGCCAGGAUGUUGGCUUAGAAGCAGCCAUCAUUUAAAGAAAGCGUAAUAGCUCACUGGUCGAGUCGGCCUGCGCGGAAGAUGUAACGGGGCUAAACCAUGCACCGAAGCUGCGGCAGCGACACUCAGGUGUUGUUGGGUAGGGGAGCGUUCUGUAAGCCUGUGAAGGUGGCCUGUGAGGGUUGCUGGAGGUAUCAGAAGUGCGAAUGCUGACAUAAGUAACGAUAAAGCGGGUGAAAAGCCCGCUCGCCGGAAGACCAAGGGUUCCUGUCCAACGUUAAUCGGGGCAGGGUGAGUCGACCCCUAAGGCGAGGCCGAAAGGCGUAGUCGAUGGGAAACGGGUUAAUAUUCCCGUACUUGGUGUUACUGCGAA